rnacentral:tmRNA from 1 species
GGGGCUGAACGGUUUCGACUACGUGCGUCGAUUCAGGGGAAGCGUGUCGGUGCAGGCAAGAGACCACCGUAAGCGUCGCUGCAACCCUAUAAGCGCCGAUUCCAAUCAGCGCGACUACGCUCUCGCUGCCUAAGCAGUAGAGCGUGUCUGUCAGCCCGGGUUCGCCUUCGGCCCGGCCCCUGGCAUCAGCUAGAAGGCUCACCGUCCUGCUCGGUCGCGGAGUAGUACGGGACAACCAACAGCGACUGGGAUCGUCAUCUCGGCUCGUUCGCAAGACCGAGAGAUCCAAGUAGAGACAGCGCGAACUGCACACGGAGAAGCCCUGGAGAAGCGGCGGAGGACCCGGGUUCGAUUCCCGGCAGCUCCACCA